CUUCUCUUGAGAGCGGCGGACGGGUGAGUAAUGCCUAGGAAUCUGCCUGGUAGUGGGGGAUAACGUCCGGAAACGGACGCUAAUACCGCAUACGUCCUACGGGAGAAAGCAGGGGACCUUCGGGCCUUGCGCUAUCAGAUGAGCCUAAGUCGGAUUAGCUAGUUGGUGGGGUAAUGGCUCACCAAGGCGACGAUCCGUAACUGGUCUGAGAGGAUGAUCAGUCACACUGGAACUGAGACACGGUCCAGACUCCUACGGGAGGCAGCAGUGGGGAAUAUUGGACAAUGGGCGAAAGCCUGAUCCAGCCAUGCCGCGUGUGUGAAGAAGGUCUUCGGAUUGUAAAGCACUUUAAGUUGGGAGGAAGGGCAGUAAAUUAAUACUUUGCUGUUUUGACGUUACCGACAGAAUAAGCACCGGCUAACUCUGUGCCAGCAGCCGCGGUAAUACAGAGGGUGCAAGCGUUAAUCGGAAUUACUGGGCGUAAAGCGCGCGUAGGUGGUUCGUUAAGUUGGAUGUGAAAUCCCCGGGCUCAACCUGGGAACUGCAUUCAAAACUGACGAGCUAGAGUAUGGUAGAGGGUGGUGGAAUUUUCCUGUGUAGCGGUGAAAAUGCGUAGAUAUAGGAAGGAACACCA
rnacentral:rRNA from 1 species